GAUGAACGCUGGCGGCGUGCCUAAUACAUGCAAGUCGAGCGAACGGACGAGAAGCUUGCUUUUCUGAUGUUAGCGGCGGACGGGUGAGUAACACGUGGAUAACCUACCUAUAAGACUGGGAUAACUUCGGGAAACCGGAGCUAAUACCGGAUAAUAUUUUGAACCGCAUGGUUCAAAAGUGAAAGACGGUCUUGCUGUCACUUAUAGAUGGAUCCGCGCUGCAUUAGCUAGUUGGUAAGGUAACGGCUUACCAAGGCAACGAUGCAUAGCCGACCUGAGAGGGUGAUCGGCCACACGGGAACUGAGACACGGUCCAGACUCCUACGGGAGGCAGCAGUAGGGAAUCUUCCGCAAUGGGCGGAAGCCUGACGGAGCAACGCCGCGUGAGUGAUGAAGGUCUUCGGAUCGUAAAACUCUGUUAUUAGGGAAGAACAGAUGUGUAAGUAACUGUGCACAUCUUGACGGUACCUAAUCAGAAAGCCACGGCUAACUACGUG
rnacentral:rRNA from 1 species